UGGGAGGGUAAUAGAGCCCAUGUCCUGCUGUCCCGCAUGGGACCUUACAAAUUGUUUUACUGGGACAUUGCAAGGACUGCUCCAGGACAGGAGUUGGAGAGUGAGUGAUCAAUGCACUGCUCAGUAGGAUGAUUGCUGAGACAAACAAGGUGGGGAGGAAGGCCCUGUUCAUUGACUCCUUUGAAAUGACCAGGAUUUGGGAAGGAAAGUAGUCAAGACUGAGGUGUGAUCCCACACAACACGACCUCACCAUGGGUGCUGUUCAUGAGCCAGGACACUGGAUAUUAUCUGUGAUCUUUCCCAAGGAAAGACACAGUGGUGGACCCCCUGGGUAAUGACCUAUGCAAGGUCAAACAAUGUCUGGAGUCGACAAGGGCAUUCAUCCAGAAGAAAGGGUGCAAUGUGUCACGGUGGACAGCAGGCACUGUACCACACACCUUACAAGGGGAUGGCAACUCCUGUGGAGCCUUUGUGUUGAAGUAUGCAGAAAGGAUACUGCAGGAAGAGCCACUACUAUUUUCCAAUAGCAGAGCAGCAGUGGCUUUGUACAGGAAGGAGGUGGCCAGGGCACUUUUGCACUUUUGCCUGAUGACCUUAGUGAGCUGUGCCACCAUUGUGGUGAACACAAAUGUUUGUGCACAGGACCAAAAGAGACAACCAAAUGGGUCCAAUGUGACACGUGACCGGUGGUUCCACAUGACGUGUGUUGGAUACGUGGACCAUGCCAGCCCCGGGAGCAAUCCCUUUAG